CGGGCACAGUGAGCUCAGUAGCGUUGCGUUUGGCCCCGGAGGUCAGGAAUGAUGGUGGUCAUGGGAGAAAGAGGUAAGAGGGAUGUGGGACAUUCUCAAUUCUGGAAAUGAGAUAAAAAAAAAAAAAAACAACGUUAAAUGAUACGCUAUUUAAAAAAAUCCAAAAAGUGGGUGAAGAGGUGAGUCACAGGCUAAAAAAUAUUUGCGACAUAAAAUCAAUAAAAGGCUAGCGUCCAGAAUGAACAAAGUAUGUUGAAAAAUCAAUAAGGAUUAACCAUCAAUAGAAAAAUAGAGGAAAAGACUUGAACAGGUGCUUCAUGAGAGAAGAUCUGAGUAGCCAGUAAGCAUGGUGAAAAUGCUUCAUUAAUCACAGAAAUGCACAAUAAUGUCAAAAUGAUUACACAUCCACUAAACUGGAUUUAAUUUGAAUUUAAAGGUCUUGGGAAUACUACGGUGGUGAGUACGUGAAGUUAAGGACCCGGUAAAAUUGGCCUCUGAUACGCUUAAGCAAAUUCAAACUCGACGAGAGCUGGCCCAGUUGCAAGCAACCGCCCAGUUGCAGACCUCCCA
rnacentral:lncRNA from 1 species